AAGUCGAACGGUAACAGGAUGUGCUUGCACAUCGCUGACGAGUGGCGGACGGGUGGGUAAUGCUUGGGAACUUGCCUUUGCGAGGGGGAUAACAGUUGGAAACGACUGCUAAUACCGCAUAAUGUCUUCGGACCAAACGGGGCUUAGGCUCCGGCGCAAAGAGAGGCCCAAGUGAGAUUAGCUAGUUGGUAAGGUAAUGGCUUACCAAGGCGACGAUCUCUAGCUGUUCUGAGAGGAAGAUCAGCCACACUGGGACUGAGACACGGCCCAGACUCCUACGGGAGGCAGCAGUGGGGAAUAUUGCACAAUGGGGGAAACCCUGAUGCAGCCAUGCCGCGUGUGUGAAGAAGGCCUUCGGGUUGUAAAGCACUUUCAGUUGUGAGGAAAAGCUAGUAGUUAAUACCUGCUAGCCGUGACGUUAACAACAGAAGAAGCACCGGCUAACUCCGUGCCAGCAGCCGCGGUAAUACGGAGGGUGCGAGCGUUAAUCGGAAUUACUGGGCGUAAAGCGCACGCAGGCGGUUUGUUAAGCUAGAUGUGAAAGCCCCGGGCUCAACCUGGGAUGGUCAUUUAGAACUGGCAGACUAGAGUCUUGGAGAGGGGAGUGGAAUUCCAGGUGUAGCGGUGAAAUGCGUAGAUAUCUGGAGGAAC
rnacentral:rRNA from 1 species